rnacentral:rRNA from 1 species
CGGACGGGUGAGUAACGCGUGAGAAUCUGGCUCCAGGUCGGGGAUAACAGUGGAAACGACUGCUAAUAUCCGGAUGUGCCGAGAGGUGAAAGAUUUAUCGCCUGGAGAUGAGCUCGCGUCUGAUUAGCUAGUUGGCGGUGUAAGGGACCACCAAGGCAUCGAUCAGUAGCUGGUCUGAGAGGAUGAUCAGCCACACUGGGACUGAGACACGGCCCAGACUCCUACGGGAGGCAGCAGUGGGGAAUUUUCCGCAAUGGGCGAAAGCCUGACGGAGCAAUACCGCGUGAGGGAGGAAGGCUCUUGGGUCGUAAACCUCUUUUCUCAAGGAAGAAGAAAGUGACGGUACUUGAGGAAUAAGCAUCGGCUAACUCCGUGCCAGCAGCCGCGGUAAUACGGAGGAUGCAAGCGUUAUCCGGAAUGAUUGGGCGUAAAGGGUCUGCAGGUGGAACUGAAAGUCUGCUGUUAAAGAGUUUGGCUUAACCAAAUAAAAGCGGUGGAAACUACAGAACUAGAGUGCGGUAGGGGCAAAAGGAAUUCCUGGUGUAGCGGUGAAAUGCGUAGAUAUCAGGAAGAACACCGGUGGCGAAAGCGUUUUGCUAGUCCUUUCUGACACUGAGGGACGAAAGCUAGGGGACCGAAAGCGUUAAUCCCCCUGUAGUC